AUUGAACGCUGGCGGCAGGCCUAACCCAUGCAAGUCGAACGAGUGGCGGACGGGUGAGUAAUGUCUGGGAAACUGCCCGAUGGAGGGGGAUAACUACUGGAAACGGUAGCUAAUACCGCAUACCAUCGGAUGUGCCCAGAUGGGAUUAGCUAGUAGGUGGGGUAACUGCUCACCUAGGCGCAGAUCCCUAGCUGGUCUGAGAGGUUGACCAGCCACACUGGAAGUGGGACACGGUCCAGACCCCGACGUGAGGCAGCAGUGGGGAAUAUUGCACAAUGGGCGCAAGCCUGAUACAGCCAUGCCGCGUGUAUGAAGAAGGCCUUCGGGUUGUAAAGUACUUUCAGCGAGGAGGCGUUACUCGCAGAAGAAGCACCGGCUAACUCCGUGCCAGCAGCCGCGGUAAUUC
rnacentral:rRNA from 1 species